UAAAAUAUAAAUAAAGCAUAAAAUGGAUGCCUUGACUCGAAUAUCCGAAGAAGGACGUGCAAAUCUGCGAUAAGCCUAGAGGAGUUGAUAAGAUACGUUAUAACUCUAGGAUUUCCGAAUGGGGGAACCCAAUAUAGGUAAUCUAUAUAAUCCUAAAAAAUAGGAAGGACACAUUGAGAAUUGAAAUAUCUAAGUAACAAUGGAAAAGAAAUCAAAAGAGAUUCCCCUAGUAGUGACGAGCGAAGAGGGAGAAGCCCAAACCGUUAAAUAUGUAUAGGUAGCUUUUGUAUUAGCGGUGUUGAAGGAAUAAUAUACAGAGAGGCUAAUAAUCUGGAUAUUUACUAGAAUAAAUAAAAGAAAGAGCUGAGAAACUCUGCCAUAGAAGGUUAAAGCCCUGUAAAUUAAAUUUAAUUUUAGAAAUAUGUAUUAUAUCCUGAGUAGGUUCAGACACGAGAAAUCUGGAUUGAAACAGGGGAGACCACUCUCCAAGGCUAAAAAGUAUUCGAGAUCGAUAGCGAACAAGUACCAUGAGGGAAAGGUGAAAAGAACCCCGGAAGGGGAGUGAAAUAGAACCUGAAAUUUUAUGCUGAUAAAGAGAUGGAGCCUACGGGUGACAUCGUACUUUUUGUAGAACGGACCAACGAGUUAGUGUAUUUGGCAAGGUUAAGGGAGUAUAACCCGAAGCCGAAGUGAAAGCGAGCCUGAAGAGGGCAUAAGUCAAGUAUACUAGACCCGAAACUGGGUGAGCUUCCCAUGAGCAGGCUGAAGUAUAGGUAAAACUGUAUGGAGGGCCGAACCAAUUGGAGCUGCAAGUCCUUUGGAUGACUUGUGGGAAGGAGUGAAAAGCUAAUCGAACCCAGAGAUAGCUGGUUCUCCGCGAAAUAGCUUUAGGGCUAGCCUUGGUGAACUAUUAUAUAGGGGUAGAGCUCUGAUUGGGCUAGCGGGCUUCACGGCUUAGUCAACCCAGACAAACUUCGAAUACUAUAUAAAUUACACCAGGAGUCAGACGGUGAGAGAUAAGUCCCAUCGUCAAAAGGGAAACAGCCCAGAUUACUAUCUAAGGUCCCUAAUUAACAACUAAGUGGCAAAGGAUGUGGGGUUGCUGAGACAACCAGGAGGUUGGCUUAGAAGCAGCCAUUCCUUAAAAGAGUGCGUAAUAGCUCACUGGUCAAGCGACCCUGCGCCGAAAAUACAACGGGGCUCAAGUUGUUAACCGAAGAUGUAAAAUCGUAAGAUUGGUAGCGGAGCGUUCUGUAAGCCGCAGAAGGUGAGGGGUAACCCGAGCUGGAGGUAUCAGAAGCGAAAAUGUUGGUAUGAGUAACGAGAGGGAAAUGAAAACAUUCCCCAUCGGAAACCCAAGGUUUCCUACGCAACGGCAGUCGUCGUAGGGUUAGUCGGUCCUAAGGUGAAGCUGAAAGGCAAAGCUGAUGGAUACCAGGUUAAUAUUCCUGGACUACUUAUAUAACUGAAGGGGGGACAUAUUUGGAUAUAAGAGAUACUUAAUUACUUGUAUUACGAAAGUGAAACUAGGGAUAUAGGCAAAUCCGUAUUCCUAUUAAAGUUGAGCUAAGUUAAGUUGAUGGAAGCCAUUAUUGGUGGAAAGAUUCUGCUCUUACUAUAUUCAGGUAUCGAGAAAAGCCUCUAAGGGUUAAUUGUAUAAGUAACCGUACCGCAAUCAAACACAUGUGGGUUGGUGGAGAACACCAAGAUGAACGAGAAAACUAUGCUUAAGGAACUCGGCAAAACAGCGGUCGUAACUUCGGGAUAAGACCUGCCUAGAGUGUAAUUUACAAACUAGGCCGCAGCGAAAGAACUCAGGCGACUGUUUACCAAAAACACAGCUCUCUGCAAACUCGUAAGAGGAAGUAUAGGGGGUGAUGCCUGCCCAGUGUCAGAAGGUUACAUGGAUGUGUGAGAGCAUUGAAAUCAAGCCCUGAUGAACGGCGGCCGUAACUAUAACGGUCCUAAGGUAGCGAAAUUCCUUGUCGGGU
rnacentral:rRNA from 1 species